AGUGAACGCUGGCGGUAGGCCUAACACAUGCAAGUCGAACGGCAGCACAGUAAGAGCUCGCCCUUACGGGUGGCGAGUGGCGGAUGGGUGAGGCAUACAUCGGAUACUUCUUUUUCGGGGGGGACAUCGUAGGGCAACUUACGCUAAUACCGCAUACGAUCAACGGCUGAAAUCAGGAGAUCUUCGGACCUUUCCCGAUAGUUGUAGCCGAUGUCGGAUUAGCUAGUUGGCUGGGUAAGGGCCUACCAAGGCAACGAUACGUAGCUGGUCUGAGAGGAUGAUCAGCCACACUGGAACUGAGACACGGUCCAGACUCCUACGGGAGGCAGCAGUGGGGAAUAUUGGGCAAUGGGCGCAAGCUUGAUCGAGCCAUGCCGCGUGGGUGAAGAAGGCCUUCGGGUUGUAAAACCCUUUUGUUGGGGAAGAACAGCAGCAGAUUAAUCCACGGAUGUUUUGACGGUACCCAAAGAAAAAGCACCGGCUAACUUCGUG
rnacentral:rRNA from 1 species